rnacentral:rRNA from 1 species
GACGAACGCUGGCGGCGUGCUUAACACAUGCAAGUCGAACGGAAAGGCCCUGCUUUUGUGGGGUGCUCGAGUGGCGAACGGGUGAGUAACACGUGAGUAACCUGCCCUUGACUUUGGGAUAACUUCAGGAAACUGGGGCUAAUACCGGAUAGGAGCUCCUGCUGCAUGGUGGGGGUUGGAAAGUUUCGGCGGUUGGGGAUGGACUCGCGGCUUAUCAGCUUAUUGGUGGGGUAGUGGCUUACCAAGGCUUUGACGGGUAGCCGGCCUGAGAGGGUGACCGGCCACAUUGAGACUGAGAUACGGCCCAGACUCCUACGGGAGGCAGCAGUGGGGAAUAUUGCACAAUGGGCGGAAGCCUGAUGCAGCAACGCCGCGUGCGGGAUGACGGCCUUCGGGUUGUAAACCGCUUUCGCCUGUGACGAAGCGUGAGUGACGGUAAUGGGUAAAGAAGCACCGGCUAACUACGUG